rnacentral:rRNA from 1 species
AUUGAACGCUGGCGGCAGGCCUAACACAUGCAAGUCGAACGAGUGGCGGACGGGUGAGUAAUGUCUGGGAAACUGCCCGAAGGAGGGGGAUAAAUACUGGAAAAGGUAGCUAAUACCGCAUAUAAUCGCAUGUGCACAGAUGGGAUUAGCUUGUAGGUGAGGUAAUGGCUCAACUAGGCGACGAUCCCUAGAUGGUCUGAGAGGAUGACCAGCCACACUGGAACUGAGACACGGUCCAGACUCCUACGGUAGGCAGCAGUGGGGAAUAUUGCACAAUGGGCGCAAGCCUGAUGCAGCCAGGCCGCGUGUAUGAAGAAGGCCUUCGGGUUGUAAAGUACUUUCAGCGGGGAGGCGUUACCCGCAGAAGAAGCACCGGCUAACUCCGUGCCAGCAGCCGCGGUAAUAC